GUCGUUGAAGACAACAACAUCACAAGUGGAAAAACAAAAAACAAACAUAAAGCAGGAAAGAGGGACUUGGCCUGUCAUGACCUACACUGGGAGCCCUUUGCAGAGGAAAGGAGGCAUUGUAUGGCUGCUGAAACACAUCCAGUCACCAGCUUCCUCACAGCAUCCUUGAGCUCCUGGUUCCUCAGGCUGUAGAUGAUGGGGGUUCACUGCUGGACGCACCACCGAGUACAGCACUGACACCACCAGAUCCAGGGAUGGGGAAGAAGUGGAAUGGGGCUUCAGAUGGCUGGAACCACAGGAGGUGUAGCAUGGAGACAAGAAGGAUGAGGAGGGUAGAUGCCCCCUGCAUGAAGGCGAAGCUUGGAUUUCUUGAGGUCCCCUAUGUGACAGGUAACAGGUUGGGCUCACUUUUGUGACUGUUUCCUUCCGGAGGGGGCCUGCAUUUUCCCACAUCUUCCUUUUAUCCCCAGUGUACUAUACAAGCUUUUUUUGUUGGCGUUAAUGUCCUUGGCCAAAUUGAGUUCUGACACAACUUUAUCUUUCCUAACCUGAUCUCUGGCUGCUCUAUUUCUCUCCAUUCC
rnacentral:lncRNA from 1 species